rnacentral:rRNA from 1 species
UGCUGGGAGGGCACUUGGAAUCAA